rnacentral:tRNA from 1 species
UCCCUAGCGGCUGAGGUGGUAAAGCAUCUGCCUGCAACACAGGAGACCCGGGUUCGAUCCCUGGUUUAGGAA